rnacentral:rRNA from 1 species
UAGGGAAUCUUCCGCAAUGGGCGAAAGCCUGACGGAGCAACGCCGCGUGAGUGAUGAAGGUCUUCGGAUCGUAAAACUCUGUUAUUAGGGAAGAACAUAUGUGUAAGUAACUGUGCACAUCUUGACGGUACCUAAUCAGAAAGCCACGGCUAACUACGUGCCAGCAGCCGCGGUAAUACGUGGGUGGCAAGCGUUAUCCGGAAUUAUUGGGCGUAAAGCGCGCGUAGGCGGUUUUUUAAGUCUGAUGUGAAAGCCCACGGCUCAACCGUGGAGGGUCAUUGGAAACUGGAAAACUUGAGUGCAGAAGAGGAAAGUGGAAUUCCAUGUGUAGCGGUGAAAUGCGCAGAGAUAUGGAGGAACACCAGUGGCGAAGGCGACUUUCUGGUCUGUAACUGACGCUGAUGUGCGAAAGCGUGGGGAUCAAACAGGAUUAGAUACCCUGGUAGUCCACGCCGUAAACGAUGAGUGCUAAGUGUUAGGGGGUUUCCGCCCCUUAGUGCUGCAGCUAACGCAUUAAGCACUCCGCCUGGGGAGUACGACCGCAAGGUUG